rnacentral:rRNA from 1 species
AGAGAUGUGUGAUGACGCAUAUCAAUAAGCGGAGGAAAAGAAACUAACAAGGAUUCCCUUAGUAACGGCGAGUGAAGCGGGAAGAGCUCAAAUUUGAAAUCUUCAAGGUUCUACCUUGACGAAUUGUAGUUUAUAGAAGUGUUUUCUGUUAGUAGAGUGGCAAAAGUUCUUUGGAAUAGGACAUCAUAGAGGGUGAGAAUCCCGUAUUUGGUCAUUCUUUCUAGCUUUGUGAUACACUUUCAACGAGUCGGAUUGUUUGGGGAUGCAGUCCAAAAUGGGUGGUAAAUUUCAUCUAAAGCUAAAUAUUGGCGAGAGACCGAUAGCGAACAAGUACCGUGAGGGAAAGAUGAAAAGAACUUUGAAAAGAGAGUUAAACAGUACGUGAAAUUGUCAAAAGGGAAGCGUUUGACACCAGUGUUGUUUUUCCGAAAAUCAAUUACGAAUGUUUUAUUUUGAGGAGUUAUGACUUCAUCGGCUUGCUUCUCUCUCUAUGAAACUUUCUUAAUGCACUUUUCGGUUAACAAGUCAACAUCAAUUUCUUUUGUUGUAAAAGAGUAUGAGGAAGGUGGCUUUCUUUUCGGAGAAAGAGUUUAUAGCCUUGUACCUCUGCAAUCGGAGAGAUUGAGGUCUGCAGCGUAGAUCCUUCGGGGUUAGAUACAUUUGUGCUAAGUUAUAGCUUUUCAUAGACAACUUGUUGACUAUGUUUAGUCUUGUAGCUUACUCGCUUAUGCUAUUUUACCUACGCUUAGGAUGUUGAUCUGUAGUGCGUGCGC